rnacentral:rRNA from 1 species
AUUGAACGCUGGCGGCAUGCUUUACACAUGCAAGUCGAACGGCAGCGCGGGGCAACCUGGCGGCGAGUGGCGAACGGGUGAGUAAUACAUCGGAACGUACCCAGAAGUGGGGGAUAACGUAGCGAAAGUUACGCUAAUACCGCAUACGUUCUACGGAAGAAAGUGGGGGAUCGCAAGACCUCAUGCUUUUGGAGCGGCCGAUGUCUGAUUAGCUAGUUGGUAGGGUAAAGGCCUACCAAGGCGACGAUCAGUAGCUGGUCUUAGAGGACGACCAGCCACACUGGGACUGAGACACGGUCCAGACUCCUACGGGAGGCAGCAGUGGGGAAUUUUGGACAAUGGGCGCAAGCCUGAUCCAGCAAUGCCGCGUGAGUGAAGAAGGCCUUCGGGUUGUAAAGCUCUUUUGUCAGGGAAGAAACGGCUGGGGCUAAUAUCCUCGGCUAAUGACGGUACCUGAAGAAUAAGCACCGGCUAACUACGUGCCAGCCGCCGCGGUAA